rnacentral:rRNA from 1 species
UGGGGAAUUUUGGACAAUGGGCGCAAGCCUGAUCCAGCCAUGCCGCGUGCGGGAAGAAGGCCUUCGGGUUGUAAACCGCUUUUGUCAGGGAAGAAAUCUUCUGAGUUAAUACCUCGGGAGGAUGACGGUACCUGAAGAAUAAGCACCGGCUAACUACGUGCCAGCAGCCGCGGUAAUACGUAGGGUGCAAGCGUUAAUCGGAAUUACUGGGCGUAAAGCGUGCGCAGGCGGUUUUGUAAGACAGAGGUGAAAUCCCCGAGCUCAACCUGGGAACUGCCUUUGUGACUGCAAGGCUUGAGUGCGGCAGAGGGGGGAUGGAAUUCCGCGUGUAGCAGUGAAAUGCGUAGAUAUGCGGAGGAACACCGAUGGCGAAGGCAAUCCCCUGGGGCCUGCACUGACGCUCAUGCACGAAAGCGUGGGGAGCAAACAGGAUUAGAUACCCUGGUAGUCCACGCCCUAAACGAUGUCAACUGGUUGUUGGGAAGGUUCCUUCUCAGUAACGUAGCUAACGCGUGAA